rnacentral:tRNA from 1 species
GGAGGAUUAGCUCAGCUCGGAGAGCAUCUGCCUUACAAGCAGAGGGUCGGCGGUUCGAGCCCGUCAUCCUCCACCA